rnacentral:sRNA from 1 species
UGAGUAAUGUUGCUUAAAUGACAUUGC